UGAACGCUGGCGGCGUGCUUAACACAUGCAAGUCGAACGAUGAUCUCCAGCUUGCUGGGGGGAUUAGUGGCGAACGGGUGAGUAACACGUGAGUAACCUGCCCUUGACUCUGGGAUAAGCCUGGGAAACUGGGUCUAAUACCGGAUAUGACCAUUCCACGCAUGUGGUGGUGGUGGAAAGCUUUUGCGGUUUUGGAUGGACUCGCGGCCUAUCAGCUUGUUGGUGGGGUAAUGGCCUACCAAGGCGACGACGGGUAGCCGGCCUGAGAGGGUGACCGGCCACACUGGGACUGAGACACGGCCCAGACUCCUACGGGAGGCAGCAGUGGGGAAUAUUGCACAAUGGGCGGAAGCCUGAUGCAGCGACGCCGCGUGAGGGAUGACGGCCUUCGGGUUGUAAACCUCUUUCAGUAGGGAAGAAGCGUAAGUGACGGUACCUGCAGAAGAAGCGCCGGCUAACUACGUGCCAGCAGCCGCGGUAAUACGUAGGGCGCAAGCGUUAUCCGGAAUUAUUGGGCGUAAAGAGCUCGUAGGCGGUUUGUCGCGUCUGCUGUGAAAGACCGGGGCUCAACUCCGGUUCUGCAGUGGGUACGGGCAGACUAGAGUGCAGUAGGGGAGACUGGAAUUCCUGGUGUAGCGGUGAAAUGCGCAGAUAUCAGGAGGAACACCGAUGGCGAAGGCAGGUCUCUGGGCUGUAACUGACGCUGAGGAGCGAAAGCAUGGGGAGCGAACAGGAUUAGAUACCCUGGUAGUCCAUGCCGUAAACGUUGGGCACUAGGUGUGGGGGACAUUCCACGUUUUCCGCGCCGUAGCUAACGCAUUAA
rnacentral:rRNA from 1 species